rnacentral:rRNA from 1 species
CUACCAUGCAGUCGAGCGGUAGAGAGAAGCUUGCUUCUCUUGAGAGCGGCGGACGGGUGAGUAAUGCCUAGGAAUCUGCCUGGUAGUGGGGGAUAACGUUCGGAAACGGACGCUAAUACCGCAUACGUCCUACGGGAGAAAGCAGGGGACCUUCGGGCCUUGCGCUAUCAGAUGAGCCUAGGUCGGAUUAGCUAGUUGGUGGGGUAAUGGCUCACCAAGGCGACGAUCCGUAACUGGUCUGAGAGGAUGAUCAGUCACACUGGAACUGAGACACGGUCCAGACUCCUACGGGAGGCAGCAGUGGGGAAUAUUGGACAAUGGGCGAAAGCCUGAUCCAGCCAUGCCGCGUGUGUGAAGAAGGUCUUCGGAUUGUAAAGCACUUUAAGUUGGGAGGAAGGGCAGUAAAUUAAUACUUUGCUGUUUUGACGUUACCGACAGAAUAAGCACCGGCUAACUCUGUGCCAGCAGCCGCGGUAAUACAGAGGGUGCAAGCGUUAAUCGGAAUUACUGGGCGUAAAGCGCGCGUAGGUGGUUAGUUAAGUUGGAUGUGAAAUCCCCGGGCUCAACCUGGGAACUGCAUUCAAAACUGACUGACUAGAGUAUGGUAGAGGGUGGUGGAAUUUCCUGUGUAGCGGUGAAAUGCGUAGAUAUAGGAAGGAACACCAGUGGCGAAGGCGACCACCUGGACUGAUACUGACACUGAGGUGCGGAAGCGUGGGGAGCAAACAGGAUUAGAUACCCUGGUAGUCCACGCCGUAAACGAUGUCAACU